GCCAUAGUACGAAAAUUCACAGUGAUGCCACUAUAUGCAUAUUCCACAUUUAACAAGCCAAAACAUAUGGAAGAUCAUUGCAAAAUUUAGCAAAUAAAAAUAUACAUUUACAGCAACUUGCGCACAAAAAAACGUAUUGGACACAGAUAAACAACCAAAACAUUAACUGAAUCUACACAACACUCAUUUAACUCUAGUAUUCUGGCGAGGAAGAACAAGUGCACAACACGACAAAGAAAUCUACAUUAAGCUGCCCUUAGUUCAUCCGAUCCGAUCUUUCCUAUCAAUAAAUGUGUUUGUUUGCAAUAAAAUUAUUAUAAAAAGCUAAUAGGAAUGCGGAAUAUAAAAAGUUGUCGACAGCACAGUCGUGAAGGAAAAAAUAUGUAUCCAUCGUUCUAUUGUUCAUUUUCUUUUAUGAAAAAUUGUUGUAUAAAAAAAAUAAUGAAAGAAUUAAAAAUAAAUAAAAAGUAAAUUAAUAGAAUAUAUUAUAUAUAA